rnacentral:tRNA from 1 species
UGCCGUAUGGCUCAGUGGUUAGGGCAUUCAGCAUGCAGGCAGAGAAAGACUCAGGUUCAAACCCUGCUGCUGUAG